GUGGGGAAUUUUGGACAAUGGGCGAAAGCCUGAUCCAGCCAUGCCGCGUGCAGGAUGAAGGCCUUCGGGUUGUAAACUGCUUUUGUACGGAACGAAAAGACUCUGGUUAAUACCUGGGGUCCAUGACGGUACCGUAAGAAUAAGCACCGGCUAACUACGUGCCAGCAGCCGCGGUAAUACGUAGGGUGCAAGCGUUAAUCGGAAUUACUGGGCGUAAAGCGUGCGCAGGCGGUUAUAUAAGACAGAUGUGAAAACCCCGGGCUCAACCUGGGAACUGCAUUUGUGACUGUAUAGCUAGAGUACGGUAGAGGGGGAUGGAAUUCCGCGUGUAGCAGUGAAAUGCGUAGAUAUGCGGAGGAACACCGAUGGCGAAGGCAAUCCCCUGGACCUGUACUGACGCUCAUGCACGAAAGCGUGGGGAGCAAACAGGAUUAGAAACCCGUGUAGUCC
rnacentral:rRNA from 1 species